rnacentral:tRNA from 3 species
UCCCCGAUAGCUCAGCGGUAGAGUAGGUGACUGUUAAUCACUUGGUCGUUCGUUCGAAUCGAACUCGGGGAGCCA